rnacentral:rRNA from 1 species
CACGUAGGGCGCAAGCGUUGUCCGGAAUUAUUGGGCGUAAAGAGCUCGUAGGCGGUCUGUUGCGUCCGCUGUGAAAACUCGGGGCUUAACCCCGAGCCUGCAGUGGAUACGGGCAGACUAGAGGUAGGUGGGGGAGAAUGGAAUUCCCGGUGUAGCGGUGAAAUGCGCAGAUAUCGGGAGGAACACCGGUGGCGAAGGCGGUUCUCUGGGCCUUACCUGACGCUGAGGAGCGAAAGCGUGGGGAGCGAACAGG